rnacentral:rRNA from 1 species
AACGAACGCUGGCGGCAUGCCUAACACAUGCAAGUCGAACGAGAACCUUCGGGGUCUGGUGGCGCACGGGUGCGUAACGCGUGGGGAACUACGCGUAUGUUCGGAAUAACAGUUAGAGAUGACUGCUAAUACCGGGGGAUGACAUUAAGUCGAAAGAUUUAUCGCCUGAGGAUGAGUGCGUGUAGGAUUAGCUAGUGGGUGUGGUAAUGGCGCAUCAAGGCGACGAUGCGUAGCUGGUCUGAGAGGAUGAUAAGCCGCAAUUGGACUGAGACCCGGCCCAGACUCCUACGGGAGGGAGCAGUAGGGUGUAUUGGGGAAUGAGCGCAAGUCUGACAACGCCGCGCCGGGUGUGUCAUGCAGCCGUUAGUGUUGUAAAUCCCUUUUAGCCGAGAUGUUAAUGACAGUACCGGGUGAAUAAGCACCGGCUAACUCCGUG